rnacentral:rRNA from 1 species
CCUACGGGCGGCUGCAGUGAGGAAUAUUGGUCAAUGGACGAGAGUCUGAACCAGCCAAGUAGCGUGAAGGAUGACUGCCCUAUGGGUUGUAAACUUCUUUUAUAAAGGAAUAAAACGAGGCACGUGUGCCUUUUUGCAUGUACUUUAUGAAUAAGGAUCGGCUAACUCCGUGCCAGCAGCCGCGGUAAUACGGAGGAACCGAGCGUUAUCCGGAUUUAUUGGGGUUAAAGGGAGCGUAGAUGGGUUGUUAAGUCAGUUGUGAAAGUUUGCGGCUCAACCGUAAAAUUGCAAUUGAUACUGGAAGUCUUGAGUACAGUUGAGGUAGGCGGAAUUCGUGGUGUAGCGGUGAAAUGCUUAGAUAUCACGAAGAACCCCGAUUGCGAAGGCAGCUUACUAAACUGUGACUGACAUUGAUGCUCGAAAGUGUGGGUAUCAAACAGGAUUAGAUACCCGAGUAGUC